rnacentral:rRNA from 1 species
AUUGAACGCUGGCGGCAUGCCUUACACAUGCAAGUCGAACGGCAGCACGGGAGCAAUCCUGGUGGCGAGUGGCGAACGGGUGAGUAAUAUAUCGGAACGUGCCCAGUCGUGGGGGAUAACGUAGCGAAAGCUACGCUAAUACCGCAUACGAUCUAUGGAUGAAAGCGGGGGAUCGCAAGACCUCGCGCGAUUGGAGCGGCCGAUAUCAGAUUAGGUAGUUGGUGAGGUAAAGGCUCGCCAAGCCGACGAUCUGUAGCUGGUCUGAGAGGACGACCAGCCACACUGGGACUGAGACACGGCCCAGACUCCUACGGAGGCAGCAGUGGGAAUUUUGGACAAGUGGGACGCAAGCCUGAUCCAGCAA